rnacentral:rRNA from 1 species
AAUAUUGCACAAUGGGCGCAAGCCUGAUGCAGCCAUGCCGCGUGUAUGAAGAAGGCCUUCGGGUUGUAAAGUACUUUCAGCAGUGAGGAAGGUGGGUAUGUUAAUAGCAUAUUCAUUUGACGUUAGCUGCAGAAGAAGCACCGGCUAACUCCGUGCCAGCAGCCGCGGUAAUACGGAAGGUGCGAGCGUUAAUCGGAAUUACUGGGCGUAAAGCGCAUGCAGGUGGUUUGUUAAGUCAGAUGUGAAAGCCCGGGGCUCAACCUCGGAAUUGCAUUUGAAACUGGCAAACUAGAGUACUGUAGAGGGGGUAGAAUUUCAGGUGUAGCGGUGAAAUGCGUAGAGAUCUGAAGGAAUACCGGUGGCGAAGGCGGCCCCCUGGACAGAUACUGACACUCAGAUGCGAAAGCGUGGGGAGCAAACAGGAUUAGAUACCCUGGUAG